rnacentral:misc_RNA from 1 species
GUUUCUAUUACUAGAUUAUUUCAGACAAAAAAUUAAUUGGUUUAUAAAGCUGGGCCACGGUCGUCAAAGAUGACUUCCAUGACCCAAAAGACAUUAUGGUGCACAAGUGGUGUAUCGCUUUGAUAGGGAGUCCCGAAGGACUCAACCUACCUCGGCAGAAAUCAGUAAUGAUCCAACCGCAGGUUCACCUACGGUUA